rnacentral:rRNA from 1 species
GAGUUUGAUCAUGGCUCAGGAUGAACGUUGGCGGCGUGCCUUAAGCAUGCAAGUCGAACGGUGCAGCAAUGCACAGUGGCGAACGGCGAAGUAAUACAUAAGCAACGUGCCCCGAAGACUGGGAUAGUCGUUGGAAACGACGGGUAAUACCAGAUGUGACCGCAGAUUGGCAUCAAUUUGCGAUUAAAAGGUUUUUCGCUUCGGGAGCGGCUUAUGGCCUAUCAGGUAGUUGGUGGGGUAAUGGCCUACCAAGCCGACGACGGGUAGCGGGUCUGAGAGGAUGAUCCGCUCGAGUGGGACUGAGACACGGCCCACACACCUACGGGUGGCAGCAGCUUGGAAUCUUGCACAAUGGGGGAAACCCUGAUGCAGCGACGCCGCGUGGAGGAUGAAUGGCUUAGGCUUGUAAACUCCUUUUGACAGGAAAGACUUAGGACGGUACCUGUCGAAUAAGGUCCGGCUAACUACGUGCCAGCAGCCGCGGUAAGACGUAGGGACCAAACGUUGUCCGGAUUUACUGGGCGUAAAGAGCGCGUAGGCGGCUCGUUAAGUGUGAAGUGAAAUCUCUGGGCUCAACUCAGAAACUGCUUUGCAUACUGGCGGGCUUGAGGCGUGAAGAGGUUUGUAGAAUUCCCGGUGUAGCGGUGAAAUGCGUAGAUAUCGGGAGGAAUACCAAUGGCGAAGGCAGCAAACUGGUCACGACCUGACGCUGAGGCGCGAAAGCGUGGGUAGCAAACAGGAUUAGAUACCCUGGUAGUCCACGCCCUAAACGAUGGAUACUAGGCGUAAGAGGUAUCGACCCCUCUUGUGCCGCAGCUAACGCAUUAAGUAUCCCGCCUGGGGAGUACGG